rnacentral:rRNA from 1 species
AUGGGCAUGUGUAUACUUCUGGAGUUGCAAGAAUCAAACAAGAAUGAGGGCAAGACUUGCGCUAAGAAACCAAAAGGUACAUCAGAGAGAGGGGUCUGCCCUCGGCAGCUCGGAGGAACCAGCCUCCCAUCAUCACCACAGCCGCUCAUGGGCCGCUACCCCAUCGUUGCAUCUCCAUGGCCCGUCGCCCAGAGAGGGGAGACUAUUAGGCGUGGUGCGUUGAAGAAUGAACACGGGGUGGGGGGAUCAAGGAAUACGAUUAGGCAAGAAGAUAAGGUACCUAUGGAGGCAGAGCAGAAAUAA